rnacentral:rRNA from 1 species
UACGAAGGGGGCUAGCGUUGCUCGGAAUCACUGGGCGUAAAGCGCACGUAGGCGGCUUUCUACGUCAGAGGUGAAAUCCUGGAGCUCAACUCCAGAACUGCCUUUGAUACUGGCGAUCUUGAGUCCGGGAGAGGUGAGUGGAACUGCGAGUGUAGAGGUGAAAUUCGUAGAUAUUCGCAAGAACACCAGUGGCGAAGGCGGCUCACUGGCCCGGUACUGACGCUGAGGUGCGAAAGCGUGGGGAGCAAACAGG